rnacentral:rRNA from 1 species
GACGAACGCUGGCGGCGUGCUUAACACAUGCAAGUCGAACGGUAAGGCCCUUCGGGGUACACGAGUGGCGAACGGGUGAGUAACACGUGGGUGAUCUGCCCUGCACUUCGGGAUAAGCCUGGGAAACUGGGUCUAAUACCGGAUAGGACUCCUGGCUUCAUGGUUGGGGUGGGAAAGCUUUUGCGGUGUGGGAUGGGCCCGCGGCCUAUCAGCUUGUGGGUGGGGUAAUGGCCUACCAAGGCGACGACGGGUAGCCGGCCUGAGAGGGUGACCGGUCACACCGGGACUGAGAUACGGCCCAGACUCCUACGGGAGGCAGCAGUGGGGAAUAUUGCACAAUGGGCGCAAGCCUGAUGCAGCGACGCCGCGUGAGGGAUGACGGCCUUCGGGUUGUAAACCUCUUUCAGCUAUGACGAAGCGCAAGUGACGGUAGUAGCAGAAGAAGGACCGGCCAACUACGUGCCAGCCGCCGCAGUAA